rnacentral:lncRNA from 1 species
CCACAACACCGUUAUACUAGGCCUUAGGCAUGAUCUUGCUAGUGCCAAUAAGAAGAUCAGGGAGUUAGAGCGCCGCUAAGUUAUCUAGAUUAGAUCUUGAGGCAAUGCAUCUUAGUUAUUUAUCUUUAAAUUCGGAUUAGAUUUACUAUUAUCAUCAGUUUGCUACUAGUCAUUUGUAAUAAAUGCCUCGAGAUUAAUAAAGAGUAUUAUUAUUAUUAUUAUUAUGUCUUGUGUGUCUCUACUUUAUUUUUGUGCAAGAAAGUAGAAAACAAGUAUGGGUGAGAUCCCUCGACAUGCCAAACACACUCCGACUACAUCACUCCACGAUUCAGGUACAUACUCUGCACACUUUACUUUACACAUACACAUACACAUGAUAAAUUAAAAAAGAUUAAAAUGUUUCUAAUCAUGAUUAAUCUCACUCUGUGAUAUUUCCUGAAAACCUGCAAUUAUUCAAAAAUCAUUUUAAAACCUUGUGUUACUUAAGUCAUUGUGGAAUGUAAGAUGGUAGAGUACGAGUACCUUAUUCUUUAUAUCAUUGUUGCUUGGAGAAUUUAUUCAAAAAAUUCUAGCUACCAUCCUCAGUGUUUUAUAUGCCUGAUAAACCUGAAAAUAUAUUAAAUAUAAAAGCUAUCUACUCUGUAUUGAGUUUGUUCAAAAUGAGUUAGACCCUUGUUGAGAGAUUUAUCAUGCUCCUAAGAUCAAGACAUUAUUUCAGAAAGAUUCACUCUUCUGAAGUAUUAUUGCAUUAGAGGCAUGGGCUAUGCAAAAAUAAGGAUAUUUCGAGGAAAUAAAAGGAGCAAGUGCUCGAUUACCUCGCAGAAAAAAUGGACAAGUGUCCGGCAGUAGAAUUAGGGGUACCUCGGUAUCCACCUGAAAAAAAAGAGAGGAGAAAAAAAAGAAAAUGAUAGCCCAUGGUCCCUCUAAUAAGCAAUUUGCCAGUAAGAGUUGACAAGUUUUUAAUUUCCAAAAGUCUUUGAUCUAAGAGUAUGGCAUUCCUCUCCUCGGAUCCUGUUUUGAUCAGGCAAUAAAUGCAAAGUAAGUAUGCUUGAGAAUUGUUGCAAAUUAAGACAGCCUCAGUGAGAUAUAUAAAAGAUAAAUGAGUGAUCUGAGAGAACCUAUGAGGACAAAAGGUAUGCUAAUUCCUUUUCAAAAAUAUACAAAAACUCCAACUGACAGGAUUGAAAGGAAGAAAGGAUCUCUACUCUUGAUCAUAUAUUUCCCUGACUACAGUAUACAGUGAAUUUUUACAACACCCUGCAGGUAUGAAGAAAAUGUUUUAUAAUGUUUUAACCCUAGAUAUUUUUCUUAACCAUCCUUUUCUCGAGGACGAGUAAAAGCCUAAGUAUGGGGGUAUUUGUUGACGGUUCUUAAGUAUCAAUUUUAAUUAUCAAAUUAACAAGAGAAAGGACCAAUAUGCAAACAACACCUAGAAUUAGGGUUUGAUUUGACAGAAUUCCACGAGUUUUGUUGUUUAUCUAUUUCUGUAGGGGGUUAUCAGGAAAUAAGGAAGAAAGGCCCACAUGUCGGGAUUACAUAGAGAUAUCAACGCACCGCGCAAUUUUCUACUAUCUAGAAGACUCCAGAAGCCACG